rnacentral:rRNA from 1 species
GUGGUUUGUCGCGUCGUCUGUGAAAUUCCGGGGCUUAACUCCGGUGCGUGCAGGCGAUACGGGCAUAACUUGAGUACUGUAGGGGUAACUGGAAUUCCUGGUGUAACGGUGAAAUGCGCAGAUAUCAGGAGGAACACCGAUGGCGAAGGCAGGUUACUGGGCAGUUACUGACGCUGAGGAGCGAAAGCAUGGGUAGCGAACAGGAUUAGAUACGCUGGUAGUCAAGGGCG